CCUACGUGGGGCAGCAGUGAGGAAUAUUGGUCAAUGGACGAGAGUCUGAACCAGCCAAGUAGCGUGAAGGAUGACUGCCCUAUGGGUUGUAAACUUCUUUUAUAAAGGAAUAAAACGAGGCACGUGUGCCUUUUUGCAUGUACUUUAUGAAUAAGGAUCGGCUAACUCCGUGCCAGCAGCCGCGGUAAUCCGGAGGAUCCGAGCGUUAUCCGGAUUUAUUGGGUUUAAAGGGAGCGUAGAUGGGUUGUUAAGUCAGUUGUGAAAGUUUGCGGCUCAACCGUAAAAUUGCAAUUGAUACUGGCAGUCUUGAGUACAGUUGAGGUAGGCGGAAUUCGUGGUGUAGCGGUGAAAUGCUUAGAUAGCACGAAGAACCCCGAUUGCGAAGGCCGCUUACUAAACUGUGACUGACAUUGAUGCUCGAAAGUGUGGGUAUCAAACAGGAUUAGAUACCCGUGUAGUC
rnacentral:rRNA from 1 species